rnacentral:lncRNA from 1 species
AAAAGGAUUCUCGAAAUAGAACUCUUUUCCCCCUACCCCCAAAACGAAAGUAGAAUAGCUCAGCAAAUCACUCCCAUUUCUUUCUUAUUUUCCCGGCGUCUUAAUUAUCACCAGCGGGAUGGACAGGAAGAAAAGUCUGGAAGACACAUUUAGGAACUUUGUCAUCGAUGCAGUUGUUUCCUGAUAACGGAUGGAGUGCCUGCUGUAUUGAGAUUAUGGGUGUGGGCCACAGUGCCCAGCCAGAUGUAUCUUCUAAUCCACCAAGGGAAUCUGAACUGUUAAUUAAUUGUUAAUUGUUAAAACAUUGCUGGGGACAUUUAAACUAUGCCUAAGAAAUCAGAGAGCAAGAUUAGAGAGAUGGGUCAGUGGUGAAGAGCAUGCUUUAUUCACAUAGAGGACAUGAGUUCAGGUCUUCACAUCCUUGACGGAAGAUUAACAACUACCUUAACUCUUGAUACAUGGGAACCUGAUACAUCUGGCCUCUCCCAGGUACCUGCACUCACAGACACCUGCACUCCCAAGCACCUGUACUUACAGACAACUGCACUCCCAGGCACCUGCACUCACAUGCACCUGCACUCCCAAGCAGCUGCACUCCCAGGCACCUGCAUUCAUAUGUACCUGCACUUGCAGGCACCUACACUCACAGGCACCUGUACUCAUAGGCACCAGUCACCUACAUCAACAUAAAUAAAAAUAAAACCAUAAUAGAAAGAGAAUUCAGAGUCAAGGGUAAGUAUAUUAUGAAUGUGAACUCAGGGCUAUCUAAAUGGCUCAGUUGGUAGAGGUGCAUGCCACUAAAACUUGAUGGCCUGAUUUCAGUGCCCAGUCCCUCAUCUUUCCAUAUCUUCUUUUUAAUUAUGUUGCAAUACAACGAAUAGUCACAAUAAUAGCAGGUAUUAUAAUAGUAGAUAUUAUCUGAUUCUUGGUUGGUUUAUUAUUUUCAUUUGGGACUUGCAGUUUUUAUUUAGCUUAGACUGGCCCAGACUCAC